rnacentral:rRNA from 1 species
ACGUGGGCAAUCUGCCCUUCACUCUGGGACAAGCCCUGGAAACGGGGUCUAAUACCGGAUAACACUCUGUCCCGCAUGGGACGGGGUUAAAAGCUCCGGCGGUGAAGGAUGAGCCCGCGGCCUAUCAUCUUGUUGGUGGGGUAAUGGCCUACCAAGGCGACAACGGGUAGCCGGCCUGAGAGGGCGACCGGCCACACUGGGACUGGACACGGCCCAGACUCCUACGGGAGGCAGCAGUGGGGAAUAUUGCACAAUGGGCGAAAGCCUGAUGCACCGACGCCGCGUGAGGGAUGACGGCCUUCGGGUUGUAAACCUCUUUCAUCAGGGAAAAAACGAAAGUGACGGUACCUGCACAAGAAGCGCCGGCUAACUACGUGCCAGCAGCCGCGGUAAUACGUAGGGCGCAAGCGUUGUCCGGAAUUAUUGGGCGUAAAGAGCUCGUAUGCGGCUUGUCACGUCGGAUGUGAAAGCCCGGGGCUUAACCCCGGGUCUGCAUUCGAUACGGGCUAGCUAGAGUGUGGUAGGGGAGAUCGGAAUUCCUGGUGUAGCGGUGAAAUGCUCAGAUAUCAGGAGGAACACCGGUGGCGAAGGCGGAUCUCUGGGCCAUUACUGACGCUGACGAGCGAAAGCGUGGGGAGCGAACAGGAUUAGAUACCCUGGUAGUCCACACCGUAAACGUUGGGAACUAGGUGUUGGCGACAUUCCACGUC